GCGAGUUGCGCGCGCGCGCGCGUGCGUGCGUGCUGGGACUCGGCAGAGACAAGGAGUGGCUCAAUGGCGAUCCGCUGCUGCAGGCCUCCGGGUAGAGGCUGGAGAAGCUCGGCAAGUGGCUUGCUGUGUCACUCCCCGGUUGAAAACACAGCUGUUGCCCAGAAGUGGGUGUCUAAUGGAAGAGAUGACCUGGAGACUACACAGAGUCAAACGGUGAUGGGAAUCACUGUAGAAGCCUCAGUUUGCCCCAAGGGAGAUGGGAGUGAGGGGCCGAUUGCAGGAAGGCUUAGAGCGCACCAAGAGCUAGGGCCUCUGCGUGACAACCCCGGCUGUCCUGGAACUCACUUUGUAGAUCAGCCUGGCCUCGAACUCAAAGAGAUCCUCCAGCCCUCUACCUCCUGAGCUGGGAGCGUUGGAAUUAAAGGCGCUUACAUCCCGUUUCUUUGACAAUAAACGAGUUGAUGGAGAAAGAUGUAAUUACAGAUAGUGUAAGAGAGUUAGUCAAGGUCUUCUCUGUCCCAGAUCAAUCUGGAACUAUACUGCACCCAAGGAUGACCUUGAACUAAUGAUACUUCUGCCUCCACCUCCCAAGCCCUGAGAUUAACAGGCGCCACCAUGUAUGGUUUCUGAUAGGCUGGGGAUUGAACACAGGGCUUUGUUCAAGUUAGGCAGGUACUCUGCUGACUGAGCUACUCCCCAAUCUCAAUAAGAGAACUUCUUGGAGUAAUAGUCAUGUGGCUACUCAAUUCUACAUGUGAAUUAAACUCUGUAGAACUGUC